AAUCUUCAGCUUCUACUUCAAAUGUACACUUACAAAGCUCCUGUUUCCACAUAGUUGGCUGUUUCUCUUAGACUGGCAAAGAUUGAAAAGUUUGGCAAUAGCAAAAAACUUGCAAGUGCUUGGAAAAUAGGUAUUUCUAUUCACUGCUGAUGACAUUGAAAAGUGGUGUAAGUCUUUGAAGGAAAUUUAAUGGAAGCUCUAAAUGUACUCACAGAUUUUGACAUUAAUGACAAUAACCAUAAACAUUUUGACAUCUAUGAAAUAAGUCCCCAGAGCCAAAGGAGCCUGAAUUUUCAUGCCUUAGAAUGAAGGAGCAACCUGAAAUAACUGUAUUUUGAAUCAGUCUUUAAAAGUCAAAUAAUAAAUGACAGGGAAAGGGAUCAUAGCAUAUGUACUCUCCAUGGAAACUCUCUGCUCUUGAUUUCAUGAAGUUCCAAACAGGGGCAAACUGGCUAUAAGGAAGGAUGGCAGAGACAAGUACAGCAGUAAUGACAGAAAAUAUUAAUAAGCAUUCUGACCUCAGGGAAAGCAGCUACCCCAGAAGGAAGCAUAAUUCUGGAAGAAAUUAGGUUUCAAAAUUGUACCUGCAUGGCACUAAGUUGAGGAUGCCAAUUCCUCCUGUGUCCCUAAAUAUUCAGCCAGGAAAAACUGAAGCCUGUAUUCACUUUGCAAUUAUAUGCUUUCUUGCCUGAAAAUCAUGGUAGCAGUGACAUGAACAGGAGACAGGGAAAUACUGGGUAGAAGAGGGUGGUUUCCCAGUAAAGGCCCAAUUGUCAAGCCUGAAGACCCACGGCCCUUUUGAGGACAGGCAUUUCUGUUUUUGUGCCCAAAAAGUUGCUUUUUGGUCUUCUACACACCCUAUCCUGCCGCCAUAUAAACUGGAGACCUUAGCGGGCACACACCAGCAGCUGGACAUUGGAACCAGUAGCCCAGCGAAAACAGAACAACGCAGAAGACAAAGAGAGAAGAGGAAGGACGUCUGGACACCAAGGGGAUUUUAGGCAGUGGUGGUUGGAGAACAGUCUGGCCGCUGGGCAACCCAACACCAGGGAAAGACCAUCUUCCCACUCCAUCUCCUCACUUCUGGCUCCCCAUCCAUCUCACUGAUAACUGCCUCCACUACUCAGUAAAACCUUGCACUCAUCCUUCCAGCCUAUGUUUGAUCUGAUUCUUCCAGUACACUGGGCAAGAACUCAGGAUACAGAAGGUUAUCACACUAUCCCACUGCCCUUGUGAUAAGACAGAGGGAAUACUGAGCUGAUUAGCACAAACAGUUUGCAGAUG
rnacentral:lncRNA from 1 species